CCUACGGGGGGCAGCAGUCGAGAAUCAUUCACAAUGGGGGAAACCCUGAUGGUGCGACGCCGCGUGGGGGAAUGAAGGUCUUCGGAUUGUAAGCCCCUGUCAUGUGGGAGCAAAUUAAAAAGAUAGUACCACAAGAGGAAGAGACGGCUAACUCUGUGCCAGCAGCCGCGGUAAUACAGAGGUCUCAAGCGUUGUUCGGAAGUACUGGGCGUAAAGGGUGCGUAGGCUGUUGUGUAAGUCUGAUGUGAAAGGCGAGGGCUCAACCCGCGGACGGCACAUGAUACUGCGAGACUAGAGUACUGGAGGGGGAACCGGAAUUCCUGGUGUAGCAGUGAAAUGCGUAGAUAUUGAGAGGAACACUCGUGGCGAAGGCGGGUUACUGGACAGUAACUGACGCUGAGGCACGAAGGCGAGGGGAGCGAAAGGGAUUAGAUACCCCUGUAGUC
rnacentral:rRNA from 1 species